GUGCUUGCCUUAGGUGGUAGAGUGCUUGCCUAGGUGCGUGAGGCACUGGGUUCGAUCCCCAGCACCACA
rnacentral:tRNA from 1 species